CCCAGUUCGGAUUGCAGGCUGCAACCCGCCUGUAUGAAGUUGGAAUCGCUAGUAAUCGCGGAUCAGCAUGCCGCGGUGAAUACGUUCCCGGGCCUUGUACACACCGCCCGUCACACCAUGAGAGUCGGGAACACCCGAAGUCCGUAGCCUAACCGCAAGGAGGGCGCGGCCGAAGGUGGGUUCGAUAAUUGGGGUGAAGUCGUAACAAGGUACC
rnacentral:rRNA from 1 species